AUGGAGAGUCUCAGCAUAUUUCUUGGUUAAAUUGAACCUCUUUGGGACAUUGUUGUAAUUAAUAUCUUUUCAUCAUAUUAAUCUUCCUUAUUACUUCUGGAGAGCCAGCCUUUAUUGGAAGAUAAAAUUUUAAGAAAAACAAAAGGAGGAAUAAGAAAUUCAGUAAAACUAAUGAAAACAUUGUUGAAAACUGAGGUUAUUUACAGUAUUUUAUAUUCAUGGACCACAUGUACCUACAAAAGAACCAGGCAUCAGACCUCUAAUAGGGCAGAUCUCAAAUACUUCAUCCCCUUUCAAGAUAUAAAGCAUCAUCAUCUUCAUCAUGAAUAUUCAGAUCUCUAUGAUGCCAGGAUUUAUGCUCAGGUGUCUGUAUUUAUACAGAAGUGGCAUGAAACAGUUGACUUUCAGGAAAUGGCCCAAGCAUUGACGCUUAUCAAAUUCAGGAAAGAGGUGUACUACACCAGACAUGUAAUACCCUUCCUUGUUGUUAAAAGGAAGAGAAAGGAACAAUUCUGGUAA
ensembl:lncRNA